UACGGGGGGGGCAAGCGUUGUUCGGAAUUACUGGGCGUAAAGAGCUCGUAGGCGGUCCGUCACGUCCGCUGUGAAAACCCAGGGCUCAACCCUGGGCUUGCAGUGGAUACGGGCAGACUAGAGGUAGGUAGGGGAGAAUGGAAUUCCCGGUGUAGCGGUGAAAUGCGCAGAUAUCGGGAGGAACACCGGUGGCGAAGGCGGUUCUCUGGGCCUUACCUGGCGCUGAGGAGCGAAAGCGUGGGGAGCGAACAGG
rnacentral:rRNA from 1 species